AUUGAACGCUGGCGGCAGGCCUAACACAUGCAAGUCGAACGCGUGGCGGACGGGUGAGUAAUGUCUGGGAAACUGCCUGAUGGAGGGGGAUAACUACUGGAAACGGUAGCUAAUACCGCAUACCAUCAGAUGUGCCCAGCUGGGCUUAGCUAGUUGGUGGGGUAACGGCUCACCAAGUCGACGAUCCCUAGCUGGUCUGCGAGGAUGACUGGCCACACUGGAACGGAGACAUGGUCCAGACUCCUACGGGAGGCAGCAGUGGGGAAGAUUGCACAAUGGGCGCAAGCCUGAUGCAGCCAGGCCGCGGUGAUGAAGAAGGCCUUCGGGUUGUAAAGUACUUUCAGCGGGGAGGCGUGACCCGCAGAAGAAGCACCGGCUAACUCCGUGCCAGCAGCCGCGGUAAUAC
rnacentral:rRNA from 1 species